rnacentral:lncRNA from 1 species
CUCCCUUGAGACGUUAUCCGAUAUAUGCGUUUGAGUGGGGAAAGGUUUUGAAAGAAUUGAGCAACAAUGUCAUGAUUGGAUGAAGCCAAAAUAACUAUUAAAGUCCAAUAACCAUGAAGUUGAUUGGGCUACAGGCCCAAUUACUCUUCCUCUUUGAUUUUGAGCCAUCUCAUUAAUGAUUUCCAGAUCCAUAACUCCAAAGGCAAAGACAACAGCUUUUUCAAUAAGGUUCCAAUAGCAUAUUCUGGUGCAAGAUGUAAUUAAAUGUGAGGAUACGGUCAAAGGAAACCCAAAAACCAAAUCCACAACUGAAAACUAAUACAUCUAACAAUUAAUGUGGAUUUCAAACAUCUUUUAAUAUGUUAUCCAUCUAUAAUCCUCUGCUUCAAAUGUUGUUUCUUAGAAUAUCUCAUCACCUUCCUUUUUUUUUUUUUUAAAAGCGUUUUUAAGCCUGGCACCUGCGCGAAAACAACUGGGAAGUAGAACUAGCAGGCUUCAAAUGAACAGAAUUCAACGAGUAGGAGAAAUAAAACGUUUGAACAUAGGAGUUGCUCUUUUGUCUAAACAAACUCCAUGACCUUAUCUUCACACAUCAAUGUCAGGGUAGUGGCUAUAUAUGCUAUUAGGCGAUUUUGGAGUGAGAAAUGUUACUUGAUUCACUGGAAAAUUGAUGACACUAGCAGAAGCUUCUUUGGUUGAUAAUGCACCCAGAGGAACUGAUCAUCUUCAUCUACAAGUACAAGCGCGGUCGUCGACGCAGGGCAUUAACAGCCCAAGUGCUACCACAUGCUCCACGAUAUCAUUGGACAUUGGUGAUGAGAGUGGACAAGAUAUCAACGUUCAUAUUUUCUUGUCAUUUAUUACUGAGAAAAAAGAAAAAAAAGAAAGAAAGAAAAACAACACUACUUGCGAUAUAUAUAUUAUCCAAAGCUGAAAUAAUAAUAAUUACAAUGAGCUAUUUAUUAUUUAUUUACUCCUCCAAUGCUCUAAUAACUAAUCUUGCAACCAUACAUCGGAAACUAAUGACAAAGAAAUUAUUAAUGAAAACAAAGGAAAAUCAUCCAGAAGAAGCAGACAAGAGUGAAAGGCUAUAAUAGGAGUGAUUUGAGGAGGGAGGAAGAGGAGGAGCAGUGUCUUGCAAUUGCAGAAACAGGAAGUUGGUGAUGAAGUGGUGGUGAUUGAAGAGAGAUGGAUGCAGUUUCUGAGUAUCGGCGAUAGCGAGAGAGAGUAUGUACAUGUAAAACAAACCCAACACCAACACACAAACGCCAUACAUCACCUUUAAAGAAUUGAAGUAUAUGUAAUAAGCCACCAGCGUUAGAUAAUACAUUUUCUCCUUCACUCCCCCACUCAACGUUUCAAAUCUCACACAAAUUCACCCCACAAACAAACCCUCUGCCCAUAUAUAUAGCGUUACGUCCAUUUGAUUUUAUGUCACAAUUAAUCUCUUUUUAUAAUAAUAUAUAAAGGGAUUAUUAUUAUUAUUAUUAUUUAUCUUGUCUUCCAACUUCAAUCCAUGCGGGGCGCCUGAGAUAUACCUGUAGUUUUGGUGGGCAACAAAAGCAUGAAUUAUUUGACAAAAAAAAAAAAAGAAAAGCAAGCAUGAAUUAUUACUCUUGUCCGGUACGGUAUUGAUUUCCGUUGGAAAUGGUUAAAAAAAAAAGAAAAAGAAAAAAAAAGAGUGUACGUG